rnacentral:rRNA from 1 species
CGGCGGACGGGUGAGUAACACGUGGAUAACCUACCUAUAAGACUGGGAUAACUUCGGGAAACCGGAGCUAAUACCGGAUAAUAUAUUGAACCGCAUGGUUCAAUAGUGAAAGACGGUUUUGCUGUCACUUAUAGAUGGAUCCGCGUCGCAUUAGCUAGUUGGUAAGGUAACGGCUUACCAAGGCAACGAUGCGUAGCCGACCUGAGAGGGUGAUCGGCCACACUGGAACUGAGACACGGUCCAGACUCCUACGGGAGGCAGCAGC